AGCAGAGCGAACCCCGAACCAAAGCAAACACGGGGCCUCGGCGGCGCCGAGCAGGGGAGAAGACGGCUGAGCUCCGGGCCGCGUCCAGCCGGGAAGAGGGAAAUUUGGACACAGAUACCCAGGAGGAACGCCAUGUGACUACUGAGGCAGAGAUUGGAGUUAUUCUGCAUCAAGCCAAGGAAUGCGAAGGAUUGCUGGCCACCAGCAGAGGCCAGAAGAAAGCCUGCAAGACCCUGAACAAUCCAGGUUUGAUUCCUCUGACCUCAUCUCCCACCACUCUUCUCUCACUCAACCACAGUUACAUGGGACAGAGAGAGUCCAGAAAUAAACUCAUACACCUAUGAAUCAGAGGAUGAAGAUAUAAAGACAAGGACUGUUGGAGCCAUUUUGCCACUAAAAUGGAAGGAGCUUAAGAAUGGAGCCGACAAGAAGAGAAGGGUGCAGUGAGUGGAUCCCCCUGGGAGGAUGUCUUGUCUGGCUUUCUGAGAAGAUAUGAAGCAGACGGACCUGAGCUGGAACACUUCAUUCUCCAGAGUGCUUGCUCAGAUGUGAACAGGCGUGACGAUGGACUCUGCUUGUGGAUCGUGACUGGUAUCUCUUUAUGGCAAGUAAAGAAAGGGGCUGGGGCUUCCCUGGUGGCGCAGUGGUUAAGAAUCUGCCUGCCAAUGCAGGGGA